rnacentral:rRNA from 1 species
ACCCUUUAAGGGUCCUGAAGGAACGUUGAAGACGACGACGUUGAUAGGCCGGGUGUGUAAGCGCAGCGAUGCGUUGAGCUAACCGGUACUAAUGAACCGUGAGGCUUAACCUUACAACGCCGAAGGUGUUU